GGAGGUAGAUAUGUAUAGGGGUAAGGAGACAGGGAUACGGGAGUGAUGGAGGUAGAUAUAUAUAGGGGUAAGGUGACAGGGAUACUGGAGUAAUGGAGGUAGAUAUGUAUAGGGGUAAGGAGACAGGGAUACUGGAGUGAUGGAGGUAGAUAUGUAUAGGGGUAAGGAGACAGGGAUACUGGAGUUAUGGAGGUAGAUAUGUAUAGGGGUAAGGAGACAGGGAUACUGGAGUGAUGGAGGUAGAUAUGUAUAGGGGUAAGGUGACAGGGAUACUGGAGUGAUGGAGGUAGAUAUGUAUAGGGGUAAGGUGACAGGGAUACUGGAGUGAUGGAGGUAGAUAUGUAUAGGGGGUAGGAGACAGGGAUACUGGAGUUAUGGAGGUAGAUAUGUAUAGGGGUAAGGUGACAGGGAUACUGGA